rnacentral:rRNA from 1 species
AGAGUUUGAUCCUGGCUCAGGAUGAACGCUAGCGGCAGGCUUAACACAUGCAAGUCGAGGGGUAUUGGUUUUCGGACCAAGAGACCGGCGCACGGGUGCGUAACGCGUAUGCAAUCUACCUUUUGCAGAGGGAUAGCCCAGAGAAAUUUGGAUUAAUACCUCAUAGUAUAGUACAAUCGCAUGAUUGAACUAUUAAAGUCACAACGGCAAAAGAUGAGCAUGCGUCCCAUUAGCUAGAUGGUAAGGUAACGGCUUACCAUGGCAACGAUGGGUAGGGGUCCUGAGAGGGAGAUCCCCCACACUGGUACUGAGACACGGACCAGACUCCUACGGGAGGCAGCAGUGAGGAAUAUUGGACAAUGGGCGCAAGCCUGAUCCAGCCAUGCCGCGUGCAGGAUGACGGUCCUAUGGAUUGUAAACUGCUUUUGCACAGGAAGAAACACUCGGUCGUGACCGAGCUUGACGGUACUGGAGAAUAAGAUCGAUCCCC